CUCAGAGGGUACAACCAACAUUAAUUGGAGAAAUAAUGACAAAGGUGAUCCAGAUUGAAUUCAUAUUCUCAUUUUCAAGAAGACCAAAACAUACAGCACAGAGAUUUCUUCUGACCAGCACAGGAUGGGCCUGAAAGUGUGGGCUCGAACUCACAACCGUGUGAUCAAGACCUGGGCUGAGAUCAAGAGUUGGACAAUUUAACCGACUGAGCUUCCCAGGAGGAGUGAUCUGUAUGUUGUACUCACAUAAAGGGCUGGACAUCCCCAAAACCACCUUGUAAGGGAGACACCUUGAAAUACCAAGUGAGUAUAUGAUUAAAAAUUACCUG